GCCCAAGAGAUCGGGAUAACACCUGGAAACAGAUGCUAAUACCGGAUAACAACAGAUGAUGCCUAUCAACUGUUUAAAAGAUGAUUCUGCUAUCACUCUUGGAUGGACCUGCGGUGCAUUAGCUAGUUGGUAGGGUAACGGCCUACCAAGGCGAUGAUGCAUAGCCGAGUUGAGAGACUGAUCGGCCACAUUGGGACUGAGACACGGCCCAAACUCCUACGGGAGGCAGCAGCC
rnacentral:rRNA from 1 species